AAUCUAUAAUAAUAUCAUUUAUUAGUUGAUGGUAUUUUGUAUUAAUAAUCUACAAAGUAACUGAAGUUAUCAAAUAAAUAUAGUGGAGUAAAAAGUCCAAUAUUUCCCUCUGAGAUGUAGUGGAGUAAAAAGUGGCCUAUAAAGUAUCAGAAAAUGGAAAUACUCAAGUAAAGUAGGCGACAAGUAGUGAUGAGCAAAUGAAGCCUCAUGAAGCUUUGUCUUUAUUUUCUGAGCCCACCAGAUGGCGCUCUCUGUUCAACAAAGGGUUACAGGCACACUGGACUGUCUGUCCUUGAGCUGUUUUCUUUAAACCAAGAGCGCCAUCUAGUGGGCUCAGAAAAUAAAAAUUGUUCAUGGAGCUUUAUUUGGUGAUCACUCGCUUCAAGUGGGUCUGUCUGUCUGUCUGUCUGUCUGUCUGCAGCAGGUCAGGAUGAAGGUGGCAGCUCUCUCUCUUCUUCUCUGUGAGUAACGUGUUUUUUCAACAAGGUAUUUUUUCACCGUUGUGACUUUUUAGAUUCUGUUUCCACAUUUUAUUCAUUGCAGGAGUGAUUUGUGUCUCUUCUUAUUUCACAUUCUGUCUCUUUGUUCUUGUUUUAGACUGAAUGCAAACUUUAAUUUUCCUAUAAACUACAUGGCGAUGCACCAAAACCACACAUUUCAAAAACUCCGAACUUCUCUAUCUGGACAAAAGUAUGUGGACAUCCUCACACAGCAGUGGUGGGAUGUAACUAAGUACUGUACUUGAGCUACAUUUUGAGCUCCUUGUACUUUCCAUUGACUUUAUACUUUUAUUCCACAUACCUUUCACCAUCUGUACAUCUUGUCAGGUUUUUGAUGAGCUUUACUUUAAUAUUUAAAUCUAGCAGUGCUUUGUUCCCUCAUCUUGAGUCAUCUGAUCAUUUGAGUCUGAUUUUGAAUGUUUGCAUGGAGUUGAUCAAUAUUUAAUAAAGCAGAUAUUUCCAUGAGCACUCAGUGAGUUUAAUAAGUUCAUGUCAGAUCCUUGUUGUCUUGUUGUGUUCUGUGUACGUUUCUGAGACUUUUCUGAGCAGCACUCUGGACUCUGCGUGUCCACCAUUCAGCUGGAUUAUCAUAUUCAUAUUUCAGAUGAGAACAGAGGUGAGAAACAUAAAGUGUGUUCAUAAAGUCAUGUAUUUCCCUCUGUGUGAUGUGACUCUGAGCUGCAGACCAAGAGUCACAAUGUCUUCCUUCCACCUCACAGCUGAUUUCUAUAAAGAUGGCGUCUUCAUCAGGAGCAGCUCCACAGGAAACAUGACCAUCCACAGUGUUUCUCCAUCUGAUGAAGGACUCUACAGAUGUAACUGUGUCUCUGGAGCUGGAGGAUCAGCAGACAGCUGGCUGACUGUCAGAGCGCCUCCUGCAGGCCGUGAUCCUCCACCUCCUCUGCUGUCUGUCUCCGCUCUGCUGCGCCACCUGGUGGCUGGAGCUCCUUACCUGCUGUCCACCAUCUUACUGGGACUCAUUUACAGAGACAGAGCGAGAGAAAGACAUAACUACUGUUCCUGCUGCUGUUCAUUACUGGGCAGGGUUUGUCCCUGAUUUGGAAUGGCGUAACAUCUGGAGUCUACCUUAUAAGUAUCUGCUCACUAAUAAAGUGAGAGAAGUGACCUUUAAGCUGAGGCACAGACACUACCCUGCUAAACAGUAUCUGCUGAAGUUUAAAAAGGACUUGUGUGUUGACUGAUCGUUAUGUGAUGUGUUUCCUGAAACUGUUGUCCAUCUUUUUUUGGCAAUGUCUCCACUCUAGUAAGUUUUGGAAAGACUUCGCCCAUUUUAUUGUUGUUAAGAUAGACUCUGACUUUGGUUUAUAUUGGAAAGAUGUAUUGUUUGGUGUCCAUAGCAACGAAAAGAAGAGACAUAGAAAAUGAUAUAUUAUUAACUUAUUAAUUAUUUUAGGAAAAUGCCACAUUCAUGAGGAUAAAUUUAGUAACGCAAAACCUUCAUUUAUUGCAUUUGAAAAGGAAAGCAAACAAUAUGUAAAAACUAUUAGUGAUUCAAACAAUAAGAAAGCUGCUAAAACUCAUGAGUUAUGUACUUUGCUUAAUAUUUUCAAAUGAAACGCCCACUGGCUGCUAUGUUGUUGUAUAUUAACGACUGUGUAUCUGUGUUUUUCUAUUGUUUGUUUGUAAUGUUUCCUGUAAAUCAAUAAAAUAAAAUAAAAACUCUGCAGGAGAAGAACUG